GAUUGAACGCUGGCGGUAUGCUUAACACAUGCAAGUCGAACGGAAACGAUACUAGCUUGCUAGUAGGCGUCGAGUGGCGGACGGGUGAGUAACGCGUAGGAAUCUGCCUGAUAGUGGGGGAUAGCCCGAAGAAAUUCGGAUUAAUACCGCAUAAUCUAUUCGUAGUAAAGUGGGGGACUUUCGAGCCUCACGCUAUCAGAUGAGCCUGCGUAAGAUUAGCUUGUUGGUAGGGUAAAAGCCUACCAAGGCGACGAUCUUUAGCUGGUCUGAGAGGAUGAUCAGCCACAUCGGGACUGAGACACGGCCCGAACUCCUACGGGAGGCAGCAGUGGGGAAUAUUGGACAAUGGGGGCAACCCUGAUCCAGCAAUACCGCGUGUGUGAAGAAGGCCUGAGGGUUGUAAAGCACUUUCAAUUGUGAAGAAAAGUUAACGGUUAAUAACCGUUAGCCUUGACGUUAACUUUAGAAGAAGCACCGGCUAACUCCGUGCCAGCAGCCGCGGUAAUACGGGGGGUGCAAGCGUUAAUCGGAAUUACUGGGCGUAAAGCGUGCGUAGGCGGUUUAUUAAGUCAGAUGUGAAAGCCCCGGGCUUAACCUGGGAACUGCAUUUGAAACUGGUCAACUAGAGUAUGGUAGAGGAAAGUGGAAUUUCUGGUGUAGCGGUGAAAUGCGUAGAUAUCAGAAGGAACAUCAAUGGCGAAGGCAGCUUUCUGGACCAAUACUGACGCUGAGGUACGAAAGCGUGGGUAGCAAACAGGAUUAGAUACCCUGGUAGUCCACGCCGUAAACGAUGAUAACUAGCCGUUGGGGGGAUUUACCCUUUAGUGGCGAAGCUAACGCGUUAAGUUAUCCGCCUGGGGAGUACGGCCGCAAGGUUAAAACUCAAAGGAAUUGACGGGGACCCGCACAAGCGGUGGAGCAUGUGGUUUAAUUCGAUGCAACGCGAAGAACCUUACCUGGUCUUGACAUCCUGCGAACUUUCUAGAAAUAGAUUGGUGCCUUCGGGAACGCAGUGACAGGUGCUGCAUGGCUGUCGUCAGCUCGUGUCGUGAGAUGUUGGGUUAAGUCCCGUAACGAGCGCAACCCCUAUCCUUAUUUGCCAGCACAUCAUGGUGGGAACUAUAAGGAGACUGCCGGUGAUAAACCGGAGGAAGGCGGGGACGACGUCAAGUCAUCAUGGCCCUUACGACCAGGGCUACACACGUGCUACAAUGGGAAGGACAAAGAGCCGCGAAGCCGCGAGGUGUAGCUAAUCUCAUAAACCUUUUCGUAGUCCGGAUUGGAGUCUGCAACUCGACUCCAUGAAGUCGGAAUCGCUAGUAAUCGUAGAUCAGAAUGCUACGGUGAAUACGUUCCCGGGUCUUGUACACACCGC
rnacentral:rRNA from 1 species